UUUGAACUAUAUAAAAUGUCAUUUUUUGUGUUCUUCCCAUAUUUCCAACAACAAACAGAAUCGGAGAGAACAAGAGGGGCACAAGAGCUGCAACUGCUUCUCUCUCCUCCCAAACCCCAAAACUUGAAGCAGAAACCACGAGCUGCAGCCAUGAAUGGAGGAACAACCAAGAAAUCUUCUCCCAUUUCUCGCGAACAAUUCGUAUCUACCAUGGCUCCUUUAAUCGACAUCGAAAAGGAGGCUGAGAUAUCUGCUUCUAUCACGUCUAGUUCGUCAAGGAGCGUAGACACUGCUCAAAAAAGGGGUUCCAUUAUUCUUAAUUUGAAGUGUGCUGAUGUCCAGGCAGGGUUGAUGGGAAAGAGUCUUCUUGAAUUUCAGUCCACAAAAGGAGAAGUUCUUCCCCCUCACAAGUUUGGGCCGCAUGAUGUUGUGGUUUUAAAGCUGAACAAAGCGGAUGCUGGUUCUCCUUCCCUAGGACAAGGUGUGGUUUAUCGUUUGAAGGAUUCAUCUAUCACUGUUGCAUUUGAUGAUAUUCCAGAGGAGGGCCUCAAUAAUUCACUGCGACUUGAGAAAGUGGCAAAUGAGGUAACGUAUCGUAGGAUGAAGGAUACCCUGGUAGAGCUGAGUAAAGGUGUGCAGAAAGGUCCUGCUUCUGACCUAGUUCCUGUACUAUUUGGAGAGAACUCCCCUGCAAUGUCAAAGAAAGAUGUUAGUUUCUCUCCAUUUAACAAGAAUCUGGAUCACUCUCAGAAAGGUGCAAUUUCUAAAGCCUUGUCAUCCAACAAUGUAUUUUUGCUGCAUGGACCUCCUGGUACUGGGAAGACAACUACCGUUGUGGAGAUUAUCUUACAGGAAGUAAAACGUGGAUCAAAAAUACUUGCAUGUGCCGCAUCAAAUAUUGCUGUGGACAAUAUUGUUGAACGUCUGGUUCCUCACAGGGUCAAGCUUGUGAGAGUGGGUCAUCCUGCACGUUUACUGCCUCAAGUAUUGGAUAGUGCCUUAGAUGCACAGGUGUUACGUGGCGACAACAAUUCUUUAGCAAAUGACAUCCGCAAAGAAAUAAAGGCCCUAAAUGCGAAACUGCUGAAGGCUAAAGACAAAAAUACCAAGAGGGAAAUUAUGAAGGAGCUUCGUUCUCUUUCCAAGGAAGAGCGUAAACGACAACAGCUAGCGGUGACUGAUGUUUUGAAAAAUGCAGAUGUCAUAUUGACGACUUUAACUGGAGCAUUGACUAAAAAGCUGGACAGAACUACAUUCGAUCUGGUGAUUAUUGAUGAAGCUGCACAGGCGCUUGAAAUUGCAUGCUGGAUAGCUCUUUUGAAGGGUUCAAGAUGUAUUCUUGCUGGAGAUCAUCUUCAACUUCCACCUACUAUCCAGAGUGUUGAAGCUGAAAAGAAAGGGUUAGGAAGAACCUUAUUUGAGCGUCUUGCUGACUUGUAUGGAGAUGACAUUAUGUCAAUGCUCACUGUUCAAUAUCGCAUGCACAAACUUAUUAUGGAUUGGUCAUCUAAAGAGCUGUAUGACAGUAAGGUAGAAGCACAUUCAUGUGUUGCUGCACAUAUGCUUUAUGACGUGGAAGGUGUGAAGAAAACACCUACAACUGAAGCCACAGUUCUGCUCAUUGACACUGCAGGUUGUGAUAUGGAAGAAAAGAAAGAUGAAGAAGACAGCACACUUAAUGAGGGUGAAGCAGAGGUUGCAAUAGCUCAUGCCAAAAGACUCGUUGAAAGUGGAGUCCAGGCUUCUAAUAUUGGAAUAAUUACACCUUACAAUGCACAGGUUGUGGCAUUGAGGAUGUUGAGGAGUAACGAUAAUAAGUUGAAGGAUGUAGAAAUAUCAACAGUUGAUGGUUUCCAAGGUCGGGAGAAAGAAGCUAUUAUUAUUUCAAUGGUCAGAUCGAACUCAAAGAAAGAGGUUGGCUUUCUGAAAGACCGCAGGAGAAUGAAUGUGGCUGUGACUCGUGCGAGGAGGCAAUGUUGUUUGAUUUGUGACACAGAAACUGUGAGCAGUGACCAAUUUUUGAAGCGAUUGAUUGAAUAUUUUGAGGAGCAUGGUGAAUAUCUGAGUGCUUCAGAAUAUGGAAACGAAUAAACUGAAAGGGAACGUGAAAAUAUUUACUGCGUGAGAAGUAUUAUAUGCACUUUUAAUGGAGAUCGAGGAUGGGAAGAGCAUACAUUCAUUUCAAAGCCUGUGAGAUCUGCUGGCUUUUCUGUUUGCUCCAGAAAGGGGAAAACACAAAAUAACGGUCUAGAAUUUGAGGGGCGAGCUCUAUACCCUUGAUCAUCACAUGUUAGCUGCUCGGUUUUACUUUGGCUGACUUGUUGAGUUUUUCAUGUUACAAUUUUGGAUUUGAAAGAGACUUGAUAUCCGGCAAUUGUAUUUGCGUCUGUCAUGUGAAUCUUGAAGGAAACAAAAACAUAGCAGGAAUUGUAGAAAUACCUGAAUAACCAGAGCUGAAGAAGCCAGGCUAAUUUAGCUACUGCUUGCUGCAAUUCUUUGCUGUCAGUGUAAAUAACAGCAAAAUAGUAUCUCGCAACAACGGUAAGGGCCAUGCACAAUCAGGCAACCCGAUCUCAUUUGAUACAUAAACACUAAACACCACUUCGGAUCGAAUUUAUAUAGAAAGUAUUAAUUUGCGAAAGCCACUUAUGGCUUCUAAAAGUGUAUGAAAAUUUCCAACUCCAGAAACAAAUGAACUGAGUAGAUCACAUAGUAAGAAUGUUGAUGAGUAUGCCUUUUAUUUCCAAAAGAGGCGAAUUAAUUCACUACUAUUUGUAACUCAUACAAAAUAUAUACUCCGUAUUGGAGGACAUAAAAAUCUAGGUAGUAUAUAACUAGAAAAACUCUAAUGGAACAUCGAUCAGAUCAAUUAAGUAG